UUGUUUUUCUUAGGUUUUUAUUGUACAUUUUUGCCUGAAUUUAUCAUAUAGCUUAUUUUGUGAUUACAUUUUCAUUGAAUUUUCACAAAACACAAAAAUGAACACCAACAAACAGAACCAAUCAACACAGUCAACACCAUACAAAGGCAGCAGGUAGCCUGGUGGUUAAGAGCUUUGGGCCAGCAACCCAGUAAGGUUACUUGUUUGAAUCCCCAGGCCGCAAAGGUGGAAAAAUAUUUUGUUCUGCAAUUGAUUAAGGCAAUUAACCCCCAACAACUGCUCCCUGAGCACCGAUGACGUGGAUUCAGAGGGUUUGGAUUAAAUGCGGAAAAUACAUUGAGUUGAAUUCAUUCAGUUGUGCAACUGGCUAGGUAUCCCCCCUUUCCUUACAAAGAUCUCCAGCCCAUGAUACAUCAUAAAGAGAAAAAUAAAAUGUAAUGUACUGAAAGAUUUGUCAUGAGGACAGGUCAAGUCUCCCUCCCACACCAACAGCAUGUUUGUCAUGAGGACAGGUCAAGUCUCCCUCCCACACCAACAGCAUGUUUGUCAUGAGGACAGGUCAAGUCUCCCUCCCACACCAACAGCAUGUUUGUCAUGAGGACAGAUCAAGUCAUCCACCCACACCAACAGCAUGUUUGUCAUGAGGACAGGUCAAGUCUCCCUCCCACACCAACAGCAUGUUUGUCAUGAGGACAGAUCAAGUCAUCCACCCACACCAACAGCAUGUUUGUCAUGAGGACAGGUCAAGUCUCCCUCCCACACCAACAGCAUGUUUGUCAUGAGGACAGGUUAAGUCUCCCUCCCACACCAACAGCAUGUUUGUCAUGAGGACAGGUCAAGUCUCCCUCCCACACCAACAGCAUAUUUGUCAUGAGGACAGGUUAAGUCUCCCUCCCACACCAACAGCAUGUUUGUCAUGAGGACAGGUUAAGUCUCCCUCCCACACCAACAGCAUGUUUGUCAUGAGGACAGGUUAAGUCUCCCUCCCACACCAACAGCAUGUUUGUCAUGAGGACAGGUCAAGUCUCCCUCCCACACCAACAGCAUGUUUGUCAUGAGGACAGGUCAAGUCUCCCUCCCACACCAACAGCAUGUUUGUCAUGAGGACAGGUCAAGUCUCCCUCCCACACCAACAGCAUGUUUGUCAUGAGGACAGGUCAAGUCUCCCUCCCACACCAACAGCAUGUUUGUCAUGAGGACAGGUUAAGUCUCCCUCCCACACCAACAGCAUGUUUGUCAUGAGGACAGGUCAAGUCUCCCUCCCACACCAACAGCAUGUUUGUCAUGAGGACAGGUCAAGUCUCCCUCCCACACCAACAGCAUGUUUGUCAUGAGGACAGGUUAAGUCUCCCUCCCACACCAACAGCAUGUUUGUCAUCCCCUCAAAAUAGCAAAGAAAGAUGAACAGAAGGGAUUUUUGGGAACAGAUUCUCUUUUACAUUUUACACAGAUUAGCAAUUAAACCAAGUUAAAAGCAGGGUACAUAAAUG